GACGAACGCUGGCGGCGUGCUUAACACAUGCAAGUCGAACGCUGAAGCUUGGUGCUUGCACUGGGUGGAUGAGUGGCGAACGGGUGAGUAAUACGUGAGUAACCUGCCCUUGACUCUGGGAUAAGCCUGGGAAACUGGGUCUAAUACUGGAUAUGACAUGCCACUGCAUGGUGGUGUGUGGAAAGGGUUUUACUGGUUUUGGAUGGGCUCACGGCCUAUCAGCUUGUUGGUGGGGUAAUGGCCUACCAAGGCGAUGACGGGUAGCCGGCCUGAGAAGGUGAAGCACCACAGCGGGAGGGAGACGGCGCACAGAAUCGGAAGGGCGGGACCGGAGGGGAUGAGAGGCAGGCGGGCGAAACGCUGCGGCAGGGCGGCCGGGUGGGAGGUGACGGCGUGCGGGUGGUAAAAAGCUCUCCGCACAGAGGAAGAGGGGGAGGAGGUAAGUAAAGAAGGAGCGCCGACAAACCACGCGCGAACGGCGGCCGAAAUAGAUGAUAAGCACAGGCAGAGC
rnacentral:rRNA from 1 species